rnacentral:misc_RNA from 1 species
GUUCCACAUUAAAUACAAAGAUGUCGCUGUCUGGUUGUGGCAGAAAGCUUAACUCUAUCAACUCAACCUCGUUGUUACCCGGCCCUGCAAAUGCGACAGCUGGCUGCAUUCUGUGUCAGACGGUGCUGAAGGAAUACUAUGGAAUGACAGUCCUCGUAAUCUCAGCUGACGCCAUAGUAUCAAUCUUCGUCUCCAUAGUCUCCGACACAUGAUGCCAACACGACUGUUUGCAAAAUGCAAAUUUACACUCAAACAUAUUUUCAUAUAUAUGAUUGUAUUUUGUGUAACGUUUAUUAUAUAUUGCAUAACAAGCACAACGGUAUUAAACGUCAGGAAGCCCUUACUUAAAUUUCAUCCACGAGAAUUUUCAAACUCCUCCCACAAAACCAUACUCCUUUGGACGUCUUUUUUCGGGUCGUCGAGUUGGAAUGUGAACUUUAAAUUACCUAAAUGUAAAAGAUAUUCCCCAAAAACAUGUGAAUUGACUUCAGAUCGAUCUCGUCUUGAGACAAGCGAAGCUGUUCUGUUUCAUUUAGGCAACAUAGUCACAAUCCCUUCGGAAAGACUAACGCAACAAAUCUGGGUACUUUUUAAUAUGGAGCCACUUCCAAAAAUUCGCCGAGAUCUUAAGCAGUACAAUGGUGUUUUCAACUGGACCAGCUGGUACCGGAGACAGUCAACAGUGCCUAUGUAUUAUGGAUGGGUUGAAACGAAACUUGACAAAAGUGGGGCAGUACUCAAAGACAUAUUCGCGGAGAAAACCAAAAUGGUAUUCUGGGCAGCGAGCAAUUGCGAAGACGAUGCCCACCGAUAUAGAACUGUGAAAGAGUUGCAGAGAUAUAUAGACGUAGACACGUACGGGGAAUGUGGUGAUAUACAAUGUAGCAGAUGGGACAAAACGUGCAAUGAAAAGUUAAAAAAAUAUAAAUUUGUCCUUUCUUUUGAGAACUCUCACUGUAAGGAUUAUGUGACUGAGAAAUACUGGCUGGCGUUGCAGAGAGAACAAAUCCCCAUUGUUCAUGGUGGAGCUGAUUACAAAGCGUUGGUGCCCCCACGAUCUUUCAUUAAUGUCAGAGACUUCCCCAGCAUCUCAGCACUAGCGACAUAUAUCAUUACAGUAGCUCAGAACAGGACUUUAUAUAACAGCUAUUUUGAUUGGAUGAGAUACUAUCACCUCCCACCAUGCCUGGAAACCAUGAACUGUUUUGACUUAGAGAAUUAUUUUUGUUCGCUGUGCGGAGCUCUGCACGACCGGGGUAUACCUGGCCAAACGUAUACCAAUCUGUAUAAGUGGGCGACGGAUGACCUCCCGCAGUGCAAAGAAUAUACGCGUUUCAGAUCUUGGUGGAACAGUUUAUCGAGGAUGCUCUUCAAGAUCGGUCUCUGAGUGAGGAUUGAGUAUGGUUUUACACCGCCAAUCUAUUCGAAGUCUAUGAGAUACUAUCAGUCACGUGACAGUGAGUGAGAGCUGCAUGUACACCAAGCACUAUACAAGAACGACCAGACCGGUGGGAACGUUCAAGCAGAGUGACACCGUCAUGUAUAGGUGCCCUCGCGACUGACGUUAACUCUAGUGAUGUUGGAUCCAAAUCCCCCUACCCCUACCAUCACGACAGACAUGGCCAUAGGCCUGUCUCCAACAUCGACACUCGGCAAACCAGGACAGGUUCUUGUAGACGCCCUUAAGACACGUGAUCAGCAGAAGCGAAGAGAACUCGAGAACAAUUCCUUGAUUCGAUGGCAAAGAAAUUAAAAAGACAAAAGUUUAAUAAACUUGAUCUAUUCAGAAUCUCAGGAAGUAAGGAACUUUUGAAUGAAUAUGUUGUAAUUAAGAAUAAAUAUAGAGAAAUGUGUAGACAGAAGAGAUUGAAGCAUGAUGAACAUUGUAUAAAUGAUCUGGUCAAUAAUAGUAAAAGUGGUAAAUCCUUCUGGAGACGCAUCAACAAUAUUAUUUCUUCACCUUCUGUGACAGGGAACCCAGGUAUUACCAAUAUGCAGUGGACCGAAUAUUUCCAGCAUGUGUUUAAUUUAACUGGUAUACUUGUGGAUGAGGACAAUCUAGAUGAGGCAGAAACAUUUAUGAACAAUCAUGAUAUAAAUGAGUGCAAUUACUGUAAUGAUGAUGUUAUGACUAAUCUCCUUAAUGCUGAUAUAACUGAAGAAGAAGUAUCAUCAGCUAUACAUAACUUGAAACUGGGUAAAUCGGCUGGACCGGAUGGAAUUCUACCGGAAAUGGUGAAAUGUUGUAGUACUUCAAUCAUAUCAUACUUAACUAUAGUUUUUAAUAGGAUUAUGCAAAGUGGUGUAUUCCCUUACGAGUGGGCAAAGGGUAUAGUAGUUCCCCUGCAUAAGAAAGAUAAUAUAAAUGAUGUCAAUAAUUAUAGAGGAAUAACGCUGAUGGAUGUAUUUGGAAAGUUGACGACAACAAUAUUAAAUGAUAGACUCAAGACUUUUGCCGACGUUUAUGAUACAAUCCGUGAAUCUCAGGCAGGAUUCCGAAGCGGAUACAGUACAAUUGAUAAUAUAUUUACAUUACAAUGUUUAGCACAAAAAUAUCUCUCUAAACGUCGGGGUAAAUUUUAUUGUUUGUUUGUUGAUUUCCGUAAAGCAUUCGAUUCGAUUAACCGAAAUCUCUUGUGGUAUUCAUUAAUGAAAAAUGGAAUACAUGGUCGUUUAUUGGUGGUUUUGAAGGAUCUAUACUCUAAGAUCAAGUGUGCUGUCAGGACAUCAAAUAACUCUCUUUUAGAUUAUUUCGAAUCACUGAGUGGUGUAAGACAGGGUGGUGUUGAGUCCUUUUCUGUUCACGAUGUUUAUCCAUGAAUUACAGUCAAUGAUAGAAAGUAGUGAUAUGCGAGGGAUUUUUAUUGGAGAGGAGUUUAUGGACAUAUUACUUUUACUAUAUGCAGAUGAUUUGUGUAUUUUUGAUGACACAGUAAUAGGUCUGCAAAGAAAAAUUGAUAUUUUAUCCAAUUUUUGUAAAAAGUGGGGACUUGAAAUUAACAUGUCUAAAACCAAAAUUUUGGUUUUCAGAAGAGGUGGUACUUUAAGGUAUGAUGAACGAUGGUUUUUGAAUGAUAAACGUAUAAAUGUAAGUACUUACUAUAGUUAUCUGGGUGUUCUGUUUUCAAAUAGAUUGUCUUGGACUAAAUGCAUUGAUACUCUCAAGAUAAAAGCCAAUAAGGCUUUGUUUGCCAUUAAACAAUUGCAAUUUCACUUUGUAAAUAUGCCAGUUAACAUUUUAUUUAAAUUGUUUGACAUUAAGAUAAAGCCCAUUCUUCUUUAUGGUGCUGAGAUCUGGGGCUGCAAAGGUAGUCAAAUUGUCGAAACUUUUCAUACUAAGUUUUGUAAAUUUGUUUUAGGAGUUGGUAAAUAUGUAUCAAGUACGGCAAUAUUAGCUGAAUGUGGAAGAAAUGGUUUGCAUGUGGAUUAUCAUAUGAAGUGUGUUAAUUACUGGUGUAAACUGAUUAGAAUGAAUGAUGAAAGAUAUCCCCGACAGUGUUAUUUGUUAAUGAAGAAGCUGGAUGAAUGUGGUAGAAUUACUUGGGCAACUCAUGUUAAAUAUUUACUCGACAUAUAUGGAUUUGGUAAUGUGUGGUACGAACAGAAUAUUGGUGAUGUUAAGUGUUUCUUGCAGCUAUUUAGACAACGUUUGUUGAAUUGCAACAAACAGAGUAUACAGAUGAAAAUUUAUGAGUCUCGUAAAUUAAGGUAUUAUUCACACGUCAAGAUAUUAUUGGAUAUGGAAUAUUAUGUUACAGCUUUCAGAAAUAGAGACCAUAGACGUAUGAUGUGCCUGUUGCGAUUAAGUGAAUUGCCUAUACGGAGUAAUCUGGGCAGAAGAGAGGAUAUUGAUUCUUCACAACGCUUUUGUAGGCUAUGUAACAAUGGUUGUAUUGAGGACGAAGUCCAUUUUGUGUUUGUCUGCCCGUUUUACGCAACAAUAAGACAAAAGUAUAUUCCUGUGAGAUUCUAUAACAAUCCAUGUAUUAAGACUUUUAGUAAUCUCUUAAAUAGCAAAAAUGACUGUAUACUCAGAAAUGUAGCUAAGUAUGUGAAGGAAGCCCUAUUAUUACGUACCAAGUCCUAAUAUUAUACCCUUAAGAUUGUUUGCAAUGUAAAUUGUCUCAAUUGUAUAAUUGUAUAUUACUAUAUAUAACUGAAAUGUACAUGGGCCUAUGGCCUCCCAUACAUGAAUAAACACACUUUAAAA